rnacentral:rRNA from 1 species
CGGUAAUUCCAGCUCCAAUAGCGUAUAUUAACGUUGUUGCAGUUAAAAAGCUCGUAGUUGAAAUGUGGGAUGAAGUAUAUAAUGAAUUUCUAAUUCAAUUCUAUAUUGAUUCCCCUCUCCAAUUUAUUAUUAUGGGUAUUAAUUUAUUUGUAAUAAGAAUUGGUCAUUUACUGUGAGAAAAUUAGAGUGUUCAAAGCAGGCAUUUGCUUGAAUAGAUUAGCAUGGAAUAAUACUAAAAGGCUUUUAUGGUCCAUUUAAUUGGUUUGUUCAUAAAAGCAAGAUUAAAAGGAACAGUUGGGGGUAUUCAUAUUCAAUAGUUAGAGGUGAAAUUCUCGGAUUUAUGGAAGAUGAACUAGUGCGAAAGCAUUUACCAAGGAUGUUUUCAUUAAUCAAGAACGAAAGCUAGGGGAUCGAAGAGGCUUAGAUACCCUCGUAGUCUUAGCUAUAAACUAUACCCGACUAGGGGUUAGUUGAAGUCAUUGUGUUUCCUAUUAGUACCUUAUGAGAAAUCAAAGUCUUUGGGUUCCGGGGGGAGUAUGGUCGCAAGGCUGAAACUUAAAGGAAUUUGACCGAAGGGCACCACCAGGAGUGGAGCCUGGCGCUUAAUUUGACUCAACCCCGGG